ACACUUUGGAUUCCUUUUCAUUUCAUUACAUCACUUCAUCAUUUCCUUCUUACAACACAUUUACCUCAAAAUAAGCUUACAUUCUUUUCUUUAUACAUUAACAUCUUAAAUCACCAAAUACAAAAGAUGAUAAAAGGGUAUCUACUAGCAAAAUGUAACCCAACUCCGGUGGCCUCUGACUACGGUGCGAUACCUUUACCGC
rnacentral:lncRNA from 1 species